GUGCGGAUGUUUUUUCCCGUUCGUACGGCGCAUCUCACACGCAGAGUGAUUUUGACACAUCGAAGUAAACAAAGCAGCACGGUAAGUUCGCUAAAGUUUUUCGCUGAUAAUUACAUAUUAUUUAUACAUUUCAGCUGGUAAAGGGUAAUAUUUCGCUUCAUCAAUCAACAUUCAACCGAUCAACAUACGAUUCUGGCCAGUUUGCGACGUCAUUCUACCGUCGGACGAUACUGCAUCAGGUCGACGCGCGCCUGCGUUUCCUUGCAAUGGAACCUUAGCAGUGAAAAGCACACCGUCCAGCUAACAUGUACAAGGACAGUUUUGCGAAGAAGCCAAAUCGUGUGUUUCGUUGUCAGAUCGACAUGCGCAUCGACCUGUUAGUUAGCAGAUUAGCAGAGGAAACAUCGGAAACAAUCGGCUUUAUGGCCGGUACAAAAUCUCCUAUAUUACUAGCGUUUUGCGUUGGUACAUCCAGCGGUUCAACACAUACGCACGAUAGAUCUCGUAGCGUUAGAUAUUUAACAACGGAACCUUCCGGAAAUAUACAGGCAACUAAACGUAAUGAACGUACUCAUUCUCAAUCGAAAAGGAAAACAAGAUAUCCACCGUAUUGUGAGUUUGGUGACAAGGCGAUAAAGCUAAUUCAGCUCGCGAAUCUAGCAGUUCUACGCGUCGGAGGAUCAACUAUGCAAUAAGGUGAUGCUGCAUUAAAGCGAAAGUACUGGGCGCAACAAAAGCGAUGCUGUGAAAAUAUUUGUUGAGGUUCUUCUUGUAUCAGGUUAUCAACAGGUCUCUUGGGCAUCGUUCACACGUUAAUUCUUCGGGCAGCUAACAGGGUGGCAUACUUACUUAAAACGUAUGUUUUAAACGUGUGUGAAUAAGUUUUACUUGAUGUGCUGCGUGCAACAAUCAGAUCAUCCACCGUGUAUUACAUCAACUCAUGUACGAUGUACCUGGAAUGUUUGACCUAAUAGACAAAACCACAUACGAUUCGAACGAUACGAUAAAUAUAGUAAACGAACGUGACGAGGAGAUCUAUGGAUAAUUUCUUCAUCGGUGAGCGUUUGAAAUUUUGGGAAUGACCAAAUGUCUGGUACUUUCAACAGCACCACUUGGUGAUCCUCAACAUCAUCAUAGCGGAUGGACGGGCAGAUCAUAUGAUUUACCAUUGGAUGCCGAAGAUCGCGUAAUUCAACUGUAGUGUAGUAACCAAAAAAUCGGUAAAUA